GACAGAGGGUGCAAACGUUGUUCGGAAUUACUGGGCGUAAAGCGCGUGUAGGCUGCCUCGAAAGUCAGGUGUGAAAUCCCUGGGCUCAACCCAGGAAGUGCACUUGAAACUUCGAAGCUCGAGUCCCGGAGAGGGUCGGCGGAAUUCUCGGUGUAGGAGGUGAAAUUCGAUAGAUAUCGAGAGGAACACCGGUGGCGAAGGCGGCUACCUGGACGGUGACUGACGCUGAGACGCGAAAGCGUGGGGAGCGAACAGG
rnacentral:rRNA from 1 species